rnacentral:rRNA from 1 species
AGGAUGAACGCUGGCGGCGUGCCUAAAACAUGCAAGUCAUACGGGCUACCUUCGGGUAGCCAGUGGCAAACGGGUGAGUAACACGUGGGAACGCGCCUCGGGGUGGGGAAUAACGCUGAGAAAUCAGUGCUAAUACCGCAUAUGGUCUAACGACUAAAGCAGCAAUGCGCCCGGAGAGCGGCCCGCGACCGAUUAGCUAGUUGGUGGGGUAAUGGCCUACCAAGGCGGUGAUCGGUAGCUGGUCUGAGAGGAUGGUCAGCCACACUGGGACUGCGAACGGCCCAGACUCCUACGGGAGGCAGCAGUGGGGAAUAUUGCACAAUGGGCGAAAGCCUGAUGCAGCGACGCCGCGUGAGGGAUGACGGCCUUCGGGUUGUAACCUCUUUCAGCAGGGAGAAGCGCAAGUGACGGUACCUGCAGAAGAAGCACCGGCUAACUACGCGCCACGCAGCCGC